CCUACGGGCGGCUGCAGUGAGGAAUAUUGGUCAAUGGCCGGAAGGCUGAACCAGCCAAGCCGCGUGAAGGACGAAGGUGCCAAGCAUUGUAAACUUCUUUUGUCAAGGGACAAAAUCAGGCUCGAGAGCCUGACCGAGGGUACUUGAAGAAAAAGCAUCGGCUAACUCCGUGCCAGCCGCCGCGGUACUACGGAGGAUGCGAGCGGUAUCCGGAUUUAUUGGGGUUAAAGGGUGCGUAGGCGGGCUGUUAAGUCAGCGGUAAAAGCCCGGGGCUCAACCCCGGCGAGACGGUGAAACUGGCUGUCUUGAGAUGUCGAGAGGUAUGCGGAAUGCGAAGGGUAGCGGUGAAAUGCUUAGAUAUUGCGCAGAACUCCGAUUGCGAAGGCAGCAUACCGGCGGCGAUCUGACGCUGAGGCACGAAAGCGUGGGUAUCGAACAGGAUUAGAUAUCCUGGUAGUC
rnacentral:rRNA from 1 species